rnacentral:lncRNA from 1 species
UAAAAGAUAUGUGACUUGAAAAAUGUGACUGUCUUCUGCCUAUACCCUGCCCUCAGGGAAGAUUGUGGCAUAUUACUGAACUAGGCAACCUAGUGAUGUGUCUCUUCUGACAGGGGUUUGCCCACAUAGACAAUUGUGACAUAUCACUGGGCUCAGGACCCAGGUGAUGUGACUCUGCUGCCUGUUCCCAACGUUCAAGAGAGGAUUGUAACAUAUCCCUGGCCAAGAACUCAGGUGAUUUGACUCUCCUGCCUUGUCCCUGUCCUCAGAGAAGAUUGUGAUAUAUCUUCAGCCCCAAACCCAGACUUUCCUGCAGGAGUGAUGCUGACAUGUUCCUCUAUUUGGCAUCUGAGUGAUAUGACCCUUGCCAUGGUCUAGCCCACAGAUGGAAUUGUGAUGUGUUGCUCUACCCAGCACCUAGGUGAUGUGACUCCAUUUUUCUGCCUUGACACUGUCCAUAAAAGGUAUUUUGACAUAUCUCUGGGAUAUGUACCCAGGUUACAUGACUCUCCUGCCUGUGUCCUGUCCACAAAUUAUGAAAUAUUACUGGGUCCAACACCCAGGGAUGUAACUCUCAUGCCUAGGCCCUGCCAACAGGGGGCAUUAUGACAAAUCUGUGUGCCAAUAACCCAGGUAAUGUGACUCUCUUUUUUUGCAUGGUCCCUGCUCACAGGGGGCAUUAUGACAUAUUGCUGAACUCAGCAUCUAACUGAUGUGAUUCUCCUUUCUACUUUUUGCCCACAGUGGAGAUUGUGACAUAUCACUGGGCCUCAAACUAAUGUGAUGUUACACUUUCAUUUUUGAACUGAACUCAGAAGGCACUGUGACAUAUUCCUGGGAACAGCACCAAGGUUAUCCCACUGUUGAGGUCCUGAAUCUCCCACCCAGAGGCAGUGGAAAGUUGGAGAAUUAACUCUCAUGCGUGGAUCUGAUACAUAGGGUAUUGUGACAUAUUGCUAGGCCCAUUAUCUAGAUGAUGUGACUCUCUUUGCUUGCCUGUGCACCACCCAAAAGGGACAUUGUGACACAUCUCUGAACCAAUUUCCUACAUAAUAUGCCUCUUCAUUGCUGCCUGAGAAAUGCCCCCAAAGAGGAUUGUGACAUGUCUCUGGGCCCAGAACCUGAAUGUUGUGACUCUCCUGCCUUGACAUAGAGGAAAUAUUAUGAUAUGUCACUCGGCCCUGCACACAAAUGAUGUUACUCUCCUGCCUGGGCCUUGCUUAUAGAGGGGAUUGAGACAUUUUACAGGUGAAGAAUUCAAGUGACAUCAUUCUCAUUUCUCAGCCUUUCCUGCAGGUAAGAUUGUGACAUAUUACUUAGCCCAGCACACAGAUGAAAUUUUUCCGCUUGUAUGCAAACCCAGCCAACAGGGGCUAUUGUCACCAUAACACAUGAAUAAAGACCACUGUUGAGGUCCUGAAUCUUAUAUGUGAACACAUCAACAGUU